UACGUAGGGAGCAAGCGUUGUCCGGAAUCAUUGGGCGUAAAGCGCGCGUAGGUGGCUUCGUAAGUCCGCUGUGAAAGUCAAAGGCUCAACCUUUGAAAGCCGGUGGAUACUGCGGAGCUAGAGUCCGGAAGAGGCGAGUGGAAUUCCUGGUGUAGCGGUGGAAUGCGCAGAUAUCAGGAGGAACACCAAUAGCGAAGGCAGCUCGCUGGGACGGUACUGACACUGGAGGCGCGAAAGCGUGGGGAGCGAACAGG
rnacentral:rRNA from 1 species